rnacentral:lncRNA from 1 species
CGUAAGCCUCAUUAUCAGCCAACAACAUUCUUCUUCCUCCUCAAAGCUGCCGUCCAGCACCAAGAGAAAAGAACCAAAGUUCCUUCUUCAUUUCACCUUCAUUUCUUAUCCAAAUCACUCCAAAAUUCACCCAUACUUAACUAAACACUUGGUGAUCAUCUUGAGCUACAAAAGGGGGCUACUUUCCACGGUUUUUGUGAGUUGUAAGAGGACAAAAAAUUUCUGCCUAAGUCAUCACUUGAGGUAAUGGAUGAUCCACCUUAAAAUUCUUAACUUAUGGGAGUAGUAAUGCACUUAUGAGCUUGUAAAUUCAUGUGGGUGGCUUGUUAUUGUUGGAAAAAUUUUGAAUGUGGGCUCUAUGAACUCCCACUCUUGGAUUGAUGGCUGAUGUGAUGAUUGAUGAUAGAUCUAAUGUUGGUUUAGUGCUCAAAUUGGUAGAUUAAUGGUGCAUAACUAGUAUAAACUUCAAGGAGUGCAUGGAUGUAAAGUUUCCAAUUCUGCCCCUGUUAUGAUCGUUCCUCUUUUUGCGGAAUUUUGAGAUUUUAAUGGCUUGUAUAUGAUGUUUAUAUGUUGUAUAGAUGGUGUAUAAAGUUUCAUCAAAAAAUAUUGAGGUUUGGUUGGUUAAAUGGAUUAAUCUCGCAAAGCUAGCAAACCUGGAAAAUUUCCCCGUAAUGCUCAGACAGCUUUCUUGUUUCGUCCAUAACUCUGUGCUCCGACGUCAAAAUCAAGUACCGUCAGUGGCAUUUGAAACUAGACAUUCCCAGAUUUUCAACGGUAUAAAAUUCACCCCCUAAUUCCACCUGAGUAUCCCGUACCAACCGUUUAAAGAUGACUGUCCUGUUUCUCUGUUUUCCUGGAACGAAGUUCAGAAGCUGCAACUUGAGGCUCGAAUUUGAGCUAGUUGUGUGCUGAAUUUCAAAACAAUUUCUUCUGUGAUAUUAUAGUUCUAUGAAUUUAUUUUCCAACUCCACCAACCAUGCUCAAUUCCGAGUUGAAUUGAGUGAUUUGUGAUAAAAAUAUGAAACCUGCCCUGUACUUGAAAACCCUAAAUUUUGGGCAGAAUUGAUGCUAGACUUGGUGUGGACUUACCAAUUGAAUUUCUUGGAGUUAAAACACUUACCAAAUGUACCAUUGUGAGGGUCUCAAAAUUUCAUUAAUUUCUGAAAAUUAAAAUAAAUAUUAUUUAAACUUUGAAAAUUAUUAAAUACUAUGAAUUUAUAUUUAAAAAUGUGUAUUUAUAUUAUUAAUGAUGUUUUCACUUAUAUAAAUGUUAUAUUUUAAUUUACAUGAAUUUUCAAAAUUUAUUUGACGGUUCGCGUUCGGCUAAACUUUAAGUUGGAUUUUCGCACUCCCAUACGCAAUAUAGCUCUAAGUUGAACUGUAUGAUAUGUAGAGGUUAUAAAAAUAUAUAAUUCAGUUGAGAAAAUGCUAGAUGAGGAAUUUCUACUAGUAGAUAAGAAUUUCGCGCUUAAACGCGAUUCAAAUUCGAAAUUGUCACCAUUAAUGGCAUGCCCAAAAAGUCUUCAAACCUAUACGCUAGCUUACCUUCAUUUUCAACCCAUCUUAUCACCAACUACCAGCCGUUUCUCUUCUCUUCAAGCUCGAUCAUCUGUUGCAAGAAGAGCUAAGAGCCACGGCCAUUCCCAGCUUCCAGCAGCCCUCCAUCUUCAACCAUUCCCAAACCCAACGUUCACCUUCCAUUUCCAGCUUCCACCUCCAUUCUUGGCUGCUGUCUCGACCGAGCAAGGAGGAGGAAGAUCGCUGCUGCUGCUGCCAGCGUUGUGUUGGACCAGGGGAGAAGGAGAAACCAGCUGCCAUUUUUCUUUCCUCCAACCACAGAACCUUCCAAGCUGACUCAAAACCCCAAACCCAAGCUUCUCUUCACCUCAACGUUUGCUGCUGGGUUGUUGCUGUGGGUGGUCUGACCGAGAGAAAAACAGAGUGCAAGGGGUGCCGACUGACCUCAGUGAUUCUAGGAGCGAACUUGGGGAACUAGGCACUUCAUUUAGCUAGUAAACAACCACCAAAGGUAACCCAAAAACUUCCGCUUCAUCCCCUUAGCCAAAAUUUCAGAUUUGUUACAGCUUUUGGUUCUUGAAGUUUUAGCUUGUCUUGGUGAAACAUGUUGGGUUGCUGAUCCUCUAAGCUAAUGAUUGAUGAAGCUAGAGGUGUUUUAUGUGCUAUAUGUAUGUUUUGAGGUGGUUAAAUGUUGGAAAAAAUUUUUUUAGAAUGAAGCUGGGGUGCUGCCGAGAGAAAGGAAAAUUUUCCAGAUUUGUACCUGUUGAUGUUUUGCAAUUUUUGCUUAGGUAAUGAACUGGAUUGCUUGUUGGGAGGUUGGACUAUUUGGUUGUGAUUGUUAUGGACUUAAAAUAUGAGUUAUAAGUUGAAGAUGGUUGAGCAAAAAGAGGAGAAAAUUCUGCUCUGCUAAACCGAACCAGCAGGCCUGUUUUUCUUCCAUUCUUUACCCGAAUUUUUGAGCUGGAUUUUGUGAAGUUAUUGAGCUAUUUAAAUCAUAUAUACGUUCACCUAUAUGUGUAGAGUAGUUUUGGUGAAAAUGCAGCUUUGGUACAAUGGGAAAUUUCCUUGAAAAACCAAAGAGAAAAAUGCCCCUUGAGCUGUCCGAAAAAUUCUGGAAAUUUCCAGAUUUUUGGGCGAAUUUGGGGUUUGGUUUUGACACGUUUUUGAACCAUUUGAGCUGUAAAUAUGUUGACCUAUAUGUGAAGUAUUGUUUGGGUAAAAAUGUAGCCUUUGAGUAGUUGAAAAAUCUUGGACAAAUGGAAGAGGAAAUGGACUUCUUGUACCAAAUGCACUUGGAAAUUUUUCCAGCUUUGCAUGAGACAUGUUAAAUAAUUUUCACGUUAACAUGAACCCAAUUUGACUUGUGUUUAGUUAAGGGGUGUGUAUAGCUCAAUUUGGGACAAAAAUCUAGUAGAGUUUACGUUCAAAAAGUGGACCAAAAUUUUAUUCUUCACGACGCUACCCAAAACAGAAAUUUUGUUUGAAAUUAGAAAUGAUUUUUGACGUUUGGAUUUCGUUUUGGUUAACUGUGGACUAAAUUGUCCCGAAAAUGUUUUCUAGCAUUAACCUUCGUUACUAGGUCCACUUCGAGUCAAUAACCUUGAAUUUUAUUAGACCAAAUGUCCUAUUUCGAGAAAUAUGCCAAAUUUGGAAAUUUUCUUGAAAACUCAAGUUUUUGCCUUCAUGAAAAUCCUUGAACCAAGUUGGUCAAUGGAAUUUAGCAAACUUAAGGAGUUUCUAUUUUAUAGAAAUUUCAACGACUAGUUUUACUUGGUUUAUAUGAUUUCCUCUUAAAGGAAUUUCCCAAGAUAUUUUUGGGGAAAAUUAGAGGGGAAAAUUCUUCUAAAUAGUCAAAUAUGAUUCUUCUCAACUUGUGACACCAAAGUGGUGUUAAUUGCUUAUAUGACUCUAGAACUUGGUUAUUGGAAUAUUUGACGAAUUUAGCAAGUUUUUGGUUUUAAAGAAACCUUAAAAUUUAAUUUCACUCGAAAUUGUGGAUUUCACUUUGAGAAAUCAAUUAAUGCUAGGUUGGGAUUUUUGAGUGAAAUUAAAUGCUAGUUGACUCGAGUUAAAUUCACCAACUCAAAAGUGGAAAUUUAUGUGAAUUAUUUGUAUGAUUUUAGGAGUUGGUGAAGAGCACAAUCUCGAUCAAAGUUUGCAAUUCUAGACUCUUCACUUGAGGUGAGUGUCUCUUGCAUGAAUCGUGUUUAACUGCUAGUUGAACUACUUAUUAAAAGUACUUGCUAGAGAUAUCAUGAAAUGUUAUAUGCUAUGUGAUUUCGUGAAAUAUCACAAGUACAAGUGUUGCAAUGUCGAUUGGAGCGGGGUCUCGUCGACUAAAUAAACCAAACGGAUGUACGUACCACGCUCUAUUAGAGUGGGAGGUACCUCUCUGCCGUCUUGGUAAAAGUGCUUGCAAAAAUUCGUGUUGGAGUCGGGCCCGAAAAUAAGGGGAAAGUCGUUGCUAGGAGACGUGUAGAUUAGGGAAAAUGUUUACAUGGAGAUUAGGUAGUGAAAGUUGACGGAGUGUCAACUACUAUAUAUUACCUGAUCAAGUGCGAGGACUUUGGCUCCUGAGAGCCCCGUAUCCUUUUCUUGCCAUGUUACUUCGUUUUUUCCUAAAUUGUUAAUUGCUUACUCGUCCAUUUGUACUUGUUAAAUUGCCCUAUGUGAAUUGCAUGUUUCGAGGCGCCACUGAGCUAUUGGCUCAUCCCUUCCAAUUUGUUUUCCUUGACAGGUUCUGAAAUGCAUGAAGUCUUGGAGAACUAGAAAAGAAAUGUUAUAUUUUGAAUGCCCACUUUUGUAAUCGUACUUUGGGAGAUACUUUAAUAUCUUUUGGAUGAUUUUCUUGUGCCUUUGGGAAAAUGUGAAUCCUGUGGUGCUUCUGUGCCCUGAGUUAGGAACUUUAAAUUGUAUAUUAAGUAUUUUAAACUCGAUGUUUUCGUUGGUACUUGGAAUUGUAUUUUCGGGCUGUAUAAGUUGAAUUGUAUGAUUUAUUUAAGUACUUAGCAUGCUCGAGAGUAAGGUUUAUUUUCAAUUUAUGUUUGGUGAUAUUAGUUGCUAGAGUGAGUGAGUCCUGGCGAGAGCUAGGCAGGCGACCCGCCAACCCUUUGGUUCGCCUUAGGGGGAAGUGGGGCCGUCACAGGUGGUAUCAGAGCCAGGUUGCCGACAGUUGGGACCUUAAGUCCUUCGUCUGGAAAAGCCCCGAGCCUCUCGUUCGUGAAGAGUCACGAAGCGAAACUCUCCGUAGGGGAUGCCCGCGUGCGGGUGGCAAGCUGAUAGGUACCCCGUGAUGUGACCCUGAGAACUGUCACAGGUGGUAUCAGAGCAUUAGGUUAAAACGUAUUUGGGAGAAUUGUUAGGUAUUUUAUUCCUAGAAAUAGGAAUGAGAUAUUUAGAUAUAUUUUAAGUGAUAAUUGAUCAAAUUAAUGGUGCUAAGGUUUAACUUUGAAAGUUUUGGCUGUUUUGUAGGUAUGGAGAACCCUAACGGGAAUGGACAUGCUGCUAAUGGUAACGGGCACGCGAAUGGUCACGCGCCGCCUCUUAGGCCUAUAUUUUACCAAGUUCAGGGUGGUGGAGCUCGUGGUCAGUACUCGCCCGACACCAGGGUUCCUAGGUGUGACUGUAGAUUGACCUUCUCUUACCCCAACACCUUGGUUCUGGCUAUAGACGAUGAGCGUCGCCAG